CUGAGUUGUAAGGGAGGAAGUUCUUAUCUGAACAGAAGAUACUUGAAAUAAAAGAGAAAAGAGUACAAAUAGCCAGCCAGGUCAGUAAUGAAGAUGUUAAUGAGAACAUGUCUGAUCCCUGCAGCAUCUGCCAGACACCUUCUUUCAACAAAGUACACUGUUGUUUAUCAUUAUCACACGUUUGGGAUUCUCACCAAUUUUCAAAGCACUGAUAAGAGGAGACCUAGUCUCCCACCAAACCCCUUAACACAAAUGAAGAGAAACCCAUCCACCUCAGGAACCAAAGGAGAUCCAUUCCUAUCCAGCUCCCACACAUGGUGAUUUGAAACAACCACCAUUUCCAGACAAGACUGCAGAACACCCAUCAGCUGGACAAAGAAAUGAAUCUACCUAACCAUACCAUGAUACCUCCAUUGAAAUCAUCCUUCAACCUCCAGCCUCUCCUCCUCUGAACUCCAGCCU